rnacentral:rRNA from 1 species
UGGGGAAUAUUGGACAAUGGGCGAAAGCCUGAUCCAGCCAUGCCGCGUGUGUGAAGAAGGUCUUCGGAUUGUAAAGCGCUUUAAGUUGGGAGGAAGGGCAGUAAGCGAAUACCUUGCUGUUUUGACGUUACCGACAGAAUAAGCACCGGCUAACUCUGUGCCAGCAGCCGCGGUAAUACAGAGGGUGCAAGCGUUAAUCGGAAUUACUGGGCGUAAAGCGCGCGUAGGUGGUUCGUUAAGUUGAAUGUGAAAGCCCCGGGCUCAACCUGGGAACUGCAUCCGAAGCUGGCGAGCUAGAGUAGGGCAGAGGGUGGUGGAAUUUCCUGUGUAGCGGUGAAAUGCGUAGAUAUAGGAAGGAACACCAGUGGCGAAGGCGACCACCUGGGCUCAUACUGACACUGAGGUGCGAAAGCGUGGGGAGCAAACAGG